UACGGCCAUAUCACGUUGAAACAUCGGUUCCAGUACGAUCACAGAAGUUAAGCAACGUCGAUCCUGGUCAGUACCUGGAUGAGUAACCGCUUGGGAAUGUCAGCUGCUGUA